rnacentral:tRNA from 1 species
AGGAUACUAGUUAAAUAUCACAUAACUUUUAAUUUGCAAUUAAAAAUAAUAUAUCCUUAAAUAUAUGUAUCUUA